rnacentral:rRNA from 1 species
CCUACGGGGGGCUGCAGUGGGGAAUAUUGCACAAUGGGCGCAAGCCUGAUGCAGCCAUGCCGCGUGUGUGAAGAAGGCCUUCGGGUUGUAAAGCACUUUCAGCGGGGAGGAAGGCGUUAAGGUUAAUAACCUUGGCGAUUGACGUUACCCGCAGAAGAAGCACCGGCUAACUCCGUGCCAGCAGCCGCGGUAAUACGGAGGGUGCAAGCGUUAAUCGGAAUUACUGGGCGUAAAGCGCACGCAGGCGGUCUGUCAAGUCGGAUGUGAAAUCCCCGGGCUCAACCUGGGAACUGCAUUCGAAACUGGCAGGCUAGAGUCUUGUAGAGGGGGGUAGAAUUCCAGGUGUAGCGGUGAAAUGCGUAGAGAUCUGGAGGAAUGCCGGUGGCGAAGGCGGCCCCCUGGACAAAGACUGACGCUCAGGUGCGAAAGCGUGGGGAGCAAACAGGAUUAGAUACCCGAGUAGUC